rnacentral:snRNA from 1 species
UGCUUGCUUCGGCAGCACGUAUACUAAAAUUGGAACGAUACAGAGAAGAUUAGCAUGGCCCCUGCACAAGGAUGUCACGCAAAUUCGUGAAGAGUUCCAUAUUUUU